UGUGUUUAUAGCUAAGCUACUAUACUUUCAAAAGUAUGAAGGUUUCUGUACGUCUAAAUAAUUUUUGAUGAUGUUUUAUCCGACUCGGCAAUCGGCUCUGUUAAAUAUAAUUGAUAAUGUUAAAAUUAUCUAGAAACUAGCUUUUCUAAUUUUUUGACUUUGCUUAUCUAAUAAAUAAAUAUCCUCAAAAUGAACAGUUAAAAAUAAAAAUUUUAUAAAAAAUAGUGAUAAUAGGUUUAAAGUUUUAAAUCGAAAAUAUUAAUCUUACUCUUGAUGACAAAUAGAAUUUUUUGUUUAGGUUUUACCUAAUUCGGAUUGUUUACAUCGUCGAACUUACAAACGUACCACCUCAGUCAUUAAAAUAGUUAUUUUUGAGAAUUUGGCAAACAAUGUCAGAAAUUAUAAAAUUUAGCUUUAGAUAGUUUUAAUAGCGUAAAUUAUACUUAAUGUUGCAGAUUGUCGAAUCGUAUUUAUACUUAAUGUUGCAGAUUGUCGAAUCGAACGUCCUAUCAUCGAAAAUAAUUUGAAAGUAAGGAGACCUCCAUACUUUCGAAACCAUUUAUCUUGUCACUUAU
rnacentral:lncRNA from 1 species